rnacentral:rRNA from 1 species
UGUGUAGGCGGUUCUCUAAGUUUGGUGUGAAAUCUCCCGGCUCAACUGGGAGGGUGCGCCGAAAACUGGGGGGCUAGAGUGCGGGAUGGGAGAGUGGAAUUCCUGGUGUAGCGGUGAAAUGCGUAGAUAUCAGGAGGAACACCGGUGGUGCAGACGGCUCUCUGGACCGUAACUGACGCUGAGACACGAAAGCGUGGGUAGCAAACAGGAUUAGAUACCCUGGUAGUCCACGCCCUAAACGAUGCAUAUUUGGUGUAGGUCAUUCAGUUGAUCUGUGCCGGAGCUAACGCGUUAAAUAUGCCGCCUGGGGAGUACAGUCGCAAGGCUGAA